CCCAAGAGAUCGGGAUAACACCUAGGAAACAGAUGCUAAUACCGGAUAACAACAGAUGAUGCCUAUCAACUGUUUAAAAGAUGGUUCUGCUAUCACUCUUGGAUGGACCUGCGGUGCAUUAGCUAGUUGGUAAGGUAACGGCUUACCAAGGCGAUGAUGCAUAGCCGAGUUGAGAGACUGAUCGGCCACAUUGGGACUGAGACACGGCCCAAACUCCUACGGGAGGCAGCAGCC
rnacentral:rRNA from 1 species